rnacentral:lncRNA from 1 species
UUAAUCAUGAACUUAUAUCUCUUUAGCAUUGUGUCUUUAUAUUAAUAAAACAUAUAAGUAAUUAGUGAUGACAACAGGUCAGAUCAGAUUGAAUACGGAUAGUGCUUACUCACAACCUGAUUCGACAAAAAAAAAAUCAUUUGUUACCCGUACGAAUAUCCACUUAAAAAAUAUUCACAGAUAUUUUAAAACCUGUGAAUAUCUACGGAUACCCG